GGGCGUUAUCCGGAUUUAUUGGGUUUAAAGGGAGCGUAGGCCGGAGAUUAAGCGUGUUGUGAAAUGUAGUGGCUCAACCUCUGCACUGCAGCGCGAACUGGUCUUCUUGAGUACGCACAACGUGGGCGGAAUUCGUGGUGUAGCGGUGAAAUGCUUAGAUAUCACGAAGAACUCCGAUUGCGAAGGCAGCUCACGGGAGCGCAACUGACGCUGAAGCUCGAAAGUGCGGGUAUCGAACAGGAUUAGAUACCCUGGUAGUCCGCACGGUAAACGAUGGAUGCCCGCUGUUGGCCUGAAUAGGUCAGCGGCCAAGCGAAAGCAUUAAGCAUCCCACCUGGGGAGUACGCCGGCAACGGUGAAACUCAAAGGAAUUGACGGGGGCCCGCACAAGCGGAGGAACAUGUGGUUUAAUUCGAUGAUACGCGAGGAACCUUACCCGGGCUUGAAUUGCAGAGGAAGGAUUUGGAGACAAUGACGCCCUUCGGGGCCUCUGUGAAGGUGCUGCAUGGUUGUCGUCAGCUCGUGCCGUGAGGUGUCGGCUUAAGUGCCAUAACGAGCGCAACCCCUCUCCUCAGUUGCCAUCAGGUCAUGCUGGGCACUCUGGGGACACUGCCACCGUAAGGUGUGAGGAAGGUGGGGAUGACGUCAAAUCAGCACGGCCCUUACGUCCGGGGCUACACACGUGUUACAAUGGCAGGUACAGAGAGACGGUCCCUUGCAAAAGGGAUCAAAUCCUCAAAGCCUGUCUCAGUUCGGACUGGGGUCUGCAACCCGACCCCACGAAGCUGGAUUCG
rnacentral:rRNA from 1 species